GACGAACGCUGGCGGCGUGCUUAAUACAUGCAAGUCGAACGGAAAGGCUCCAGCUUGCUGCCGUACUCGAGUGGCGAACGCGUGUGUAACACGUGGGUAAUCUGUCCUUCACUCUGGGAUAAGCCUGGGAAACUCGGUCUCUUACUGCAUAUGACCUUUCUCCUUAUGGGGUUUUGUGGAAAGUUUUUCGGUAUCGGAUGAUCCCGCGGCCUAUCAGCUUGUUGGGGGGGUUAAGGCCUACCAAGGCGUCGCCGGGUAGCCAGCCUGAGAGGGUGAUCGGGCACAAUAGGACUGAGAGACGGACCAGACGCCAACGGGAGGCAGCAGUGGGGAAUAUUGCGCAACGGGGGGAAGCCUGAGGCAGCGACGCCGGGUGAGGGAUGACGGCUUUCGGGUGAUAAACCUCUUUCAGCAGGGACGAAGCGUAAGUGACGGUACCUGAAGAGGAAGCACCGGCUAACUAUGUG
rnacentral:rRNA from 1 species